GACAGAGGCCUCGAGCGUUAGGCGGAAUCACUGGGCUUAAAGCGCGUGUAGGCGGAUCGUUAAGUGCCUUGUGAAAUCCUGCGGCUCAACCGCAGAACCGCUGGGCAUACUGGCGGUCUUGGGCCACUCAGGGGUCACUGGAACAAGCGGUGGAGCGGUGAAAUGCGUAGAUAUCGCUUGGAACGCCAAAGGUGAAGACAGGUGACUGGGGGUGUGCCGACGCUGAGACGCGAAAGCUAGGGUAGCAAACGGG
rnacentral:rRNA from 1 species